CACCGCGGUUAUACGAGAGGCCCAAGCUGACAGACCCUCGGCGUAAAGAGUGGUUAAAAUGUAAUUAAACUAAAGCCGAAUAUCUCCACAACUGUUAUACGUAUUAGGAGAUUAGAAGAGCCCCUACGAAAGUGGCUUUAUUCUUUUGAACCCACGGAAGCUAUGGAA
rnacentral:rRNA from 1 species